rnacentral:rRNA from 1 species
UGGGGAGUACGGCCGCAAGGUUAAAACUCAAAUGAAUUGACGGGGGCCCGCACAAGCGGUGGAGCAUGUGGUUUAAUUCGAUGCAACGCGAAGAACCUUACCUGGUCUUGACAUCCACAGAACCUUGUAGAGAUACGAGGGUGCCUUCGGGAACUGUGAGACAGGUGCUGCAUGGCUGUCGUCAGCUCGUGUUGUGAAAUGUUGGGUUAAGUCCCGCAACGAGCGCAACCCUUAUCCUUUGUUGCCAGCGGUCCGGCCGGGAACUCAAAGGAGACUGCCAGUGAUAAACUGGAGGAAGGUGGGGAUGACGUCAAGUCAUCAUGGCCCUUACGACCAGGGCUACACACGUGCUACAAUGGCGCAUACAAAGAGAAGCGACCUCGCGAGAGCAAGCGGACCUCAUAAAGUGCGUCGUAGUCCGGAUUGGAGUCUGCAACUCGACUCCAUGAAGUCGGAAUCGCUAGUAAUCGUGGAUCAGAAUGC